UACGUAGGGUGCAGGCGUUAAUCGGAAUUACUGGGCGUAAAGCGCGUGUAGGCGGCCCGGUAAGUCCGCUGUGAAAGUCGGGGGCUCAACCCUCGAAUGCCGGUGGAUACUGUCGGGCUAGAGUGCGGAAGAGGCGAGUGGAAUUCCUGGUGUAGCGGUGAAAUGCGCAGAUAUCAGGAAGAACACCGGUGGCGAAAGCGCUCUGCUAGGCCGCAACUGACACUGAGGGACGAAAGCUAGGGGAGCGAAUGGG
rnacentral:rRNA from 1 species